rnacentral:lncRNA from 1 species
AUGACCUAUACCCAUAAACAUGUUUCCACAUCUGACACACAACCGUUCCUUGACGUUGGCUGAGUCUCACUCUCACGUGGUGGCCCGAACGUGAGGUGCACUCAAAUCAUACCUCAGGAGAUACUUCACCCAAUAUCUCCCCCCGAAGGUAAGUAUAUAAUUGAGUUACCGUGCCCCUCUCAUAGGCAGUCCACGAAAACCCCCACCACUACAGUGACCGUUUAAUAUACCACCAGACCCAUAAAAAUUCCAGUAACAUAGUAUGGCGAAUAAAAUAUAAUCCAGUCUACCAAGACCAAUCCAAAACUGUUCAUAUAUUUCAUGCCAACCCCAAAAAUUUAGCCAUCAUGCUACCAUAGUGUCAUAAGCCACAAUUUCAAUAACAUAUAAAAUCAUAAAUUUCAACACAGUCUCCAUAUACUCAAUUUUCCCAAAACAAUAUUUGAUUUCAAAAUCAGUAUAAAUCUCAUUUUUAUUAAAAAA